GGUGUACAGACAAAUAGAUCUCACAGUCGAUUAUGACUUCCGGUUUAUUUUCAACGCGUAUCGUGGUUCCAGUGGGUACGGCGAUAUUGCCAUUGAUGAUAUAUCCUUUGACGAUACAUCGGUUUGCCCCCACCUUCAGGAGUGUUCCUUCGAGACGGAUUAUUGCGGCUGGUUACAGGAGACUGUUCAAGAUGACUUUGAUUGGAAGAGAACUCGAGGAAAAGAUAAUUCGGAUAUCCCAAUUGAUAGUACAACUGGGGUCAACACAGGGUACUACGCUUGGCUAGACACCACAACGAACACUAUUGACGGCCAGACUGCUAUCCUAUUCAGCCCGACUUACACCCUGACAUCAAUUCCUCAUUGUCUUCGGUUUUGGUAUUACCAUGAUGGAGUUGGCGCCCUCACCGUUCAUUCUCGCCAAUCUGGAACCUAUUCAGAUCCAUUAUGGGCUGCACCCCCUGAAGGUGUUACGGGCUGGAGGUUCGGAAGCAGUACGGUGACCGACGCCAAUAGUUUUCAGGCUGCUUUUAAGGGCACCGUAGGUUCCAGCCCAGGAUCCAAAAUGGCGCUUGAU